rnacentral:tRNA from 1 species
UUAAUUGAAGUCAAAAUAUAGAGACUUAUCACUGUUAAUGAUAUAAUUGGAUUUUAAUCCCAAUUAAA